GAUGAACGCUGGCGGCGUGCCUAAUACAUGCAAGUCGAGCGAACGGACGAGAAGCUUGCUUCUCUGAUGUUAGCGGCGGACGGGUGAGUAACACGUGGAUAACCUACCUAUAAGACUGGGAUAACUUCGGGAAACCGGAGCUAAUACCGGAUAAUAUUUUGAACCGCAUGGUUCAAAAGUGAAAGACGGUCUUGCUGUCACUUAUAGAUGGAUCCGCGCUGCAUUAGCUAGUUGGUAAGGUAACGGCUUACCAAGGCAACGAUGCAUAGCCGACCUGAGAGGGUGAUCGGCCACACUGGAACUGAGACACGGUCCAGACUCCUACGGGAGGCAGCAGUAGGGAAUCUUCCGCAAUGGGCGAAAGCCUGACGGAGCAACGCCGCGUGAGUGAUGAAGGUCUUCGGAUCGUAAAACUCUGUUAUUAGGGAAGAACAUAUGUGUAAGUAACUGUGCACAUCUUGACGGUACCUAAUCAGAAAGCCACGGCUAACUACGUGCCAGCAGCCGCGGUAAUACGUAGGUGGCAAGCAUUAUCCGGAAUUAUUGGGCGUAAAGCGCGCGUAGGCGGUUUUUUAAGUCUGAUGUGAAAGCCCACGGCUCAACCGUGGAGGGUCAUUGGAAACUGGAAAACUUGAGUGCAGAAGAGGAAAGUGGAACUCCAUGUGUAGCGGUGAAAUGCGCAGAGAUACGGAGGAACACCAGUGGCGAAGGCGACUUUCUGGUCUGUAACUGACGCUGAUGUGCGAAAGCGUGGGGAUCAAACAGGAUUAGAUACCCUGGUAGUCCACGCCGUAAACGAUGAGUGCUAAGUGUUAGGGGGUUUCCGCCCCUUAGUGCUGCAGCUAACGCAUUAAGCACUCCGCCUGGGGAGUACGACCGCAAGGUUGAAACUCAAAGGAAUUGACGGGGACCCGCACAAGCGGUGGAGCAUGUGGUUUAAUUCGAAGCAACGCGAAGAACCUUACCAAAUCUUGACAUCCUUUGACAACUCUAGAGAUAGAGCUUUCCCCUUCGGGGGACAAAGUGACAGGUGGUGCAUGGUUGUCGUCAGCUCGUGUCGUGAGAUGUUGGGUUAAGUCCCGCAACGAGCGCAACCCUUAAGCUUAGUUACCAUCAUUAAGUUGGGCACUCUAAGUUGACUGCCGGUGACAAACCGGAGGAAGGUGGGGAUGACGUCAAAUCAUCAUGCCCCUUAUGAUUUGGGCUACACACGUGCUACAAUGGACAAUACAAAGGGCAGCGAAACCGUGAGGUCAAGCAAAUCCCAUAAAGUUGUUCUCAGUUCGGAUUGUAGUCUGCAACUCGACUACAUGAAGCUGGAAUCGCUAGUAAUCGUAGAUCAGCGUGCUACGGUGAAUACGUUCCCGGGUCU
rnacentral:rRNA from 1 species